ACUCCAAAACUAUAAACAUCACUCUUAUCAGUUAAUUGAUAUUUCCUGUAGUACUCAGGAUCUAGAUAACCAAGAGUACCUUGGGCACAAGUUGAUAUGUGACUCAAGUCACUAUGAGCUAAUCUUGAUAACCCAAAAUCCGAAACCUUAGCAUUUAAUUUCUCAUCGAGAAGUAUAUUGCUAGACUUCACAUCUCGAUGAUAAAUUGGAGGAACAGCUGAGAAAUGGAGGUAAGAAAGACCCUCAGCAGUGUCAUGAGCAAUUCGGAGACGCUGUGUCCAAGAUAGUUGUCCUCGUCCACCAGGUUUUAGACCUUGUAAUUGAUCAAGAAGAGUUCCAUUUUGAAUAUACUCAUAAACCAAGAUGGGUUGCUCAAGCUCAACACAGCAACCGAGCAAGCAUACAAGGCUUCUGUGAUUGACUUGGCAUAGAAUUCGGACCUCAUUGAGAACUUGAUCAGUGCCUUUGGUGUUUCCAAGCUUGGCACACUUGAUAGCUACAACAGUACCAUCAUCAAGAAUGCCUUUAUAGACUUCACCAUAGCCGCCAGCACCUAAAAGGUGGUCCUUAGAGAAACUAUUUGUUGCUCUCUUUAUUUCUCUGCCUGUAAAGAGUUUUGCUGCUCUAGUUCCUCCGGCAUUUAAGAUUUCUUCACGUUCCCUAGCCAGACGUUCUCUAGCUUCUUUAAUGCGCUUGUGGCGUUUGUAUAAGUGGAUGGCAAUGGUACCUAGCAAGAUUGCUGCACCUAGGCCAGAGGUCAAACCAGCUAUAAGUGCAGUCUUCGAUGAUCCCCCACAGCCUUCAGGAUUUUGACACGUCACAUUUUCAGCACAAAUCCCUUGAAUUGGAUCCCAUCGAAGCCCACCAUUACAGAAACACCUCCUGACCCCAGCCGUGUUCGGGUCAGGCCCACAAGUCGAGUUUCCAUCGCAACCGGCCUGAGACCCACACAGCGGUUCCUGAGGUAGUACCCAUUGGAUAGCAACUCCUGGGCUCGGCCACCUAUUCACUGGCAAACUCGGGUCCAAGUUAACAAAACUCGUGUAGGCCAUACACCCAGCCUCUCUAACCCGGAUCAUAUACGAUGUCGUGCCACCGCCAGCCUUGAAAGUACAACAGAUCGACGCAUCCUGACACGGCGACGCUAAUCCAGUGUUAACGUACAAUUGGCACAAGCUGUUCGCCGAGCAAUUCAACGGUGACCUUAGCAACGAGUCUGUACAGUUCAAGUACAUAACAGUAUUAUCACCGGUGAUGUUGAAAGGGAGUGAGCUGUUCAUCUGGAUGCCUUGGUGGACAAAAUCGGACGUGACGCAAGUGUUUGGCAAGAGACUUGCAGGCCGUAUCACGAGCCGUUGAAUUGAAGGGUUGAUGGAACUGAUUGGAUACGAGUUAUUAAGCGUGUCAAACAUGAGUGUACCAGCGUCACACCGGAUCUUAUACGAUUGGUCGCCGCAACUAGACCCCGUGCUGAAUGGGUAGGGGACUGGGGUAGAGCCACAGUUGGGACACCGAGUAGCGGAGAAGGCAGGCAUGGGGCAUGUUAGCAGCAGCGCCGCCGUAAAGAGGAGGGGGAGGAGGAGGUUUGGUAGUGGCCUCAUCGUGGCUUGAGGUUUUGGGGAAAUGAAGUGCCGGAGAUCGAGAGUUGGUGCCAUGAAGAAGACAGCGUUUGUUAAUUUAUUGGAGUGGCGAUUUUGGGCAGAUUUUAGAAGAUUCUUAUGGUGCAAAUUUCUGAUGUGGG
rnacentral:misc_RNA from 1 species